rnacentral:ncRNA from 2 species
GGACGAGCCUCUGGAGAGAUCCAUUUAAUUGGACACCGAAGGAGAAAAAUAGCUUGGCGCCAAAAUGCUAUUGAAACUCUCAGGUAAAAGGACAGAGGAAGGAAU